UGGACAGAUUAUUGUAUUCGACUGUAUUCACAGCGUGAAAUAGGGGAUUACACUUAUUUUAAACGGAAAGUGAAUCAAUUAACAUAAUCGACUCCU
rnacentral:pre_miRNA from 1 species